rnacentral:rRNA from 1 species
GAUGAACGCUGGCGGCGUGCCUAAUACAUGCAAGUCGAGCGAACAGAUGAGGAGCUUGCUCCUCUGACGUUAGCGGCGGACGGGUGAGUAACACGUGGAUAACCUACCUAUAAGACUGGGAUAACUUCGGGAAACCGGAGCUAAUACCGGAUAAUAUAUUGAACCGCAUGGUUCAAUAGUGAAAGACGGUUUUGCUGUCACUUAUAGAUGGAUCCGCGCCGCAUUAGCUAGUUGGUAAGGUAACGGCUUACCAAGGCAACGAUGCGUAGCCGACCUGAGAGGGUGAUCGGCCACACUGGAACUGAGACACGGUCCAGACUCCUACGGGAGGCAGCAGUAGGGAAUCUUCCGCAAUGGGCGAAAGCCUGACGGAGCAACGCCGCGUGAGUGAUGAAGGUCUUCGGAUCGUAAAACUCUGUUAUUAGGGAAGAACAAAUGUGUAAGUAACUAUGCACGUCUUGACGGUACCUAAUCAGAAAGCCCCGGCUAACUACGUG